AUAGCUCUGCAUGGUAAAGCCGU
rnacentral:piRNA from 1 species